GUGGGUGGCAAGCGUUGUCCGGAAUUAUUGGGCGUAAAGCGCGCGCAGGCGGUCCUUUAAGUCUGAUGUGAAAGCCCACGGCUCAACCGUGGAGGGUCAUUGGAAACUGGGGGACUUGAGUACAGAAGAGGAAAGCGGAAUUCCAAGUGUAGCGGUGAAAUGCGUAGAGAUUUGGAGGAACACCAGUGGCGAAGGCGGCUUUCUGGUCUGUAACUGACGCUGAGGCGCGAAAGCGUGGGGAGCAAACAGGAUUAGAUACCCUGGUAGUCCACGCCGUAAACGAUGAGUGCUAAGUGUUAGGGGGUUUCCCGCCCCCUUAGUGCUGCAGCUAACGCAUUAAGCACUCCGCCUGGGGAGUACGGCCGCAAGGCUG
rnacentral:rRNA from 1 species